rnacentral:rRNA from 1 species
AGAGUUUGAUCCUGGCUCAGGAUGAACGCUGGCGGCGUGCUUAACACAUGCAAGUCGAACGGAUGCUUUGAGCAAUCGGAGCAUUAGUGGCAAACGGGUGAGUAACACGUGGGUGACCUACCUCAGAGUGGGGUACAACAGACCGAAAGGUUUGCUAAUACCGCAUCGUCUCGAUCCUUCAGUGGGUCGAGUAAAGCCGUAAGGCGCUUUGAGAGGGGCCCGCGUCCCAUCAGGUAGUUGGUGAGGUAAUGGCCCACCAAGCCGAUGACGGGUAGCUGUUCUGAGAGGAAGAUCAGCCACAAUGGAACUGAGAUACGGUCCAUACUCCUACGGGAGGCAGCAGUGAGGAAUAUUGCACAAUGGACGCAAGUCUGAUGCAGCGACGCCGCGUGGGUGACGAAGGCCUUCGGGUCGUAAAACCCUUUUUGGCAGGGACGAGUGAGGACGGUACCUGCAGAAUAAGUCUCGGCUAACUACGUGCCAGCAGCCGCGGUAAAACGUAGGAGGCGAGCGUUAUCCGGAUUUACUGGGCGUAAAGCGUGCGUAGGCGGCUGGUCAAGUCAGAUGUUAAAGCCCCUGGCUCAACUGGGGGAGGUCAUUUGAUACUGAUCGGCUUGAGGGUGAGAGAGGAGAGCGGAAUUCCCGGUGUAGCGGUGGAAUGCGUAGAGAUCGGGAGGAACACCAGUGGCGAAAGCGGCUCUCUGGCUCACAUCUGACGCUGAGUGCACGAAAGCGUGGGUAGCAAACGGGAUUAGAUACCCCGGUAGUCCACGCCCUAAACGAUGAGAGCUGGGUGUCGGCAGGGUUUCCUGUCGGUGCCGAAGCUAACGCGUUAAGCUCUCCGCCUGGGGACUACGAACGCAAGUUUAAAACUCAAAGGAAUAGACGGGGGCCCGCACAAGCAGCGGAGCGUGUGGUUCAAUUCGAUCAACACGAAGAACCUUACCAGGGUUUGACAUGUAUGUGGUAGGAAACUGAAAGGGGCCCGACCCGCAAGGGAGCAUGCACAGGUGCUGCAUGGCUGUCGUCAGCUCGUGCCGUGAGGUGUUGGGUUAAGUCCCGCAACGAGCGCAACCCCUUUCGCUAGUUACAAGUGUCUAGCGAUACUGCCGGAUUAACUCCGGAGGAAGGCGGGGAUGACGUCAAGUCAGCAUGGCCUUUAUAUCCUGGGCUACACACACGCUACAAUAGGUACUACAGAGCGUUGCCAAGCCGCGAGGCGGAGCUAAUCGCACAAAAGUAUCCUCAGUUCAGAUUGCAGGCUGCAACUCGCCUGCAUGAAGUCGGAGUUGCUAGUAAACGCGCGUCAGCUAUAGUGCGUUGAAUGCGUUCCCGGGCCUUGUACUCACCGCCCGUCACGUCAUGGAAGUUGGUAACACCUGAAGUCGGUGACCGAACCGCAAGGACGGAGCCGCCGAGGGUGGGACUGAUAACUGGGACGAAGUCGUAACAAGGUA